AUUGAACGCUAGCGGGAUGCUUAACACAUGCAAGUCGAACGAGUGGCGGACGGGUGAGUAAUAUAUCGGAACGUGGCCAGUAGCGGGGGAUAACUACGCGAAAGAGUGGCUAAUACCGCAUACUAUUGGAGCGGCCGAUAUGGGAUUAGCUAGUUGGUGGGGUAACGGCUCACCAAGGCAACGAUCCGUAGCUGGUUUGCGAGGACGACCAGCCACACUGGGACUGAGACACGGCCCAGACUCCUACGUGAGGCAGCAGUGGGGAAUUUUGGACAAUGGGGGAAACCCUGAUCCAGCCAUACCGCGUGUAUGAGAAGGCCUUCGGGUUGUAAAGUACUUUUGGCAGAGAAGCGGUAUCUGCAGAAUAAGCACCGGCUAACUACGUGCCAGCAGCCGCGGUAAUAC
rnacentral:rRNA from 1 species